AAAAUAAAAUUUGAUUUUAAAAAAAUUUAAUUUUUAAACUAGGAUUAGAUACCCUAUUAUUUUAAGCUUAAUGUUGGUAGUAAGUAAAAUUUAUGAAAUCAUAAAAUUUUGGCGGUAUUUUAAGCUUGUUAGAGGAAUUUGCUCUAUAAUGGAUACAACGCCUAUAUCUUACUUAAUUUUGUAAUUAAAGUCAGUUUGUAUACCACUAUAUUUAAUUAUAUUGAAUAAUUAUAUUUGAGAUUUUUAUAUAAAUAUAUAUUAAGUCAAGGUGCAACAAAUAAUUA
rnacentral:rRNA from 1 species